rnacentral:rRNA from 1 species
GUGGGGAAUAUUGGACAAUGGGCGAAAGCCUGAUCCAGCCAUGCCGCGUGUGUGAAGAAGGUCUUCGGAUUGUAAAGCACUUUAAGUUGGGAGGAAGGGCAGUAAGUUAAUACCUUGCUGUUUUGACGUUACCGACAGAAUAAGCACCGGCUAACUUCGUGCCAGCAGCCGCGGUAAUACGAAGGGUGCAAGCGUUAAUCGGAAUUACUGGGCGUAAAGCGCGCGUAGGUGGUUUUGUAAGUUGUAGGUGAAAUCCCCGGGCGCAACCGGGGAACUGCCUCCAAAACUGCAUGACUAGAGUGCGGUAGAGGGUAGUGGAAUUUCCUGUGUAGCGGUGAAAUGCGUAGAUAUAGGAAGGAACACCAGUGGCGAAGGCGACUACCUGGACUGAUACUGACACUGAGGUGCGAAAGCGUGGGGAGCAAACAGGAUUAGAAACCCUGGUAGUCC